ensembl:ncRNA B0495.15 ncRNA
UAACGUCAUCAGGCAUUCGGGUGCCCGGGAUUGCACUCCUCCGGAACUCUCGACUGAAUUGCUAAUCGCCUGAAUUGCACACUCACAUACUCGCCGGAGCACACACUCAGCUCCGGCAAACUUACAUGCUAACCACUCGCCA